UCCGCCCAAUGCUGCUCUUCUGAGAGCAACCGCUCUGACAGCUCUCUCUAGUCUCUACUGGGAAACAGCUAAAAGUCCUUCUGGAGGUAAGCAACGCUACACAAUUACACCCAGUCUGAGAGUAAAAGAUGUCUCGAAGGUUCGUUUUGUUUUCUUACAACGUUAAGUUAAUGUUAACAUAACCUUAAGUUUGCUAGGAGGCUAUUGUUACGAGCUAGCUGUCUUAGCUAACAACAGUUAGCAGCUAACGUUUUCUGCAGUUUGUGUUGCCCCUGAAAAACGUGAUGUAGUUAUUUAAGGGUAUGUUAAAUUAACGUUAUUUUACAAGUUGAGAGAGUUAAGUUGUGUUUAAAAUCGUCAAUGUAAUGCACGUUAGAGGUUUUUAGUUAGACAUGAAGUUAGCUAACGUUAGCUAACUCUACCAGGUUAGCAUGUUAAGCUGUACUUUCUGUGGCAGCUAGCUUAAUACAAAGAGGGGUUUUGUGCUUCAUUCCAAACUUUUCUUUGUUAAUCUACCUGAAACUGUAGGGACAUUUUGUUUCUACUCAACUAUACAGACCAUUGUUGAGGAGAUGCAACACAUACUGUACAUUAGUUGGGUCCAACAUAUACCUUGAGUAAUGUUACUUUGCUGCUAAAAAUGAAACAUCAUUAUCAGAUGAGGACAUCACCAAAGUGUGUGAGCCUGUCAGGGGAUUUGAUCUGUUCUCUGCAUGUCCUAAACACUGCUCUGGUAUUACUUAUCUUGUAAAAUGUAAGUUUCGCUCUUGUCAUCGUUCAGGCUUUGCAUUUGAACUCCUAUGACUGGUUGCGGAAAAAAGGUGAGAUUCUAAUACAUUUGAAUGCCAAAAGCAAGUUAUUGUUUUUCACUUUUUAAAUAUGAUUGUUUUGGGGCAUUUCAGUUUUAUUGGACAGAGGCAGUAGAUAUCUACUGGAAACAGUGGAGAGGGAGGAGAUGAUAUGCAGCAAAAGGCCCAGCCGGAUGGUUGCUGCUCCGUGUGGAACGUGUUCUAUCAGGUGUAACAUCUACCAAUGGUUGUACAUGACAGAGACCUCCUCCACCUCUUAGCCCACAUCAAACACCUGAUCAAGAGCUUGUGAACCUCACUGCUGCGGACACCUGUGUGAUAUUCCACUCUGACUGGAAGUUACCCUCAAAAUGACCUGCAGGCUCAAGCUCGGUGUCAUCGUUUUGGCCAGUCUAAGGCGGUGAAGGUGUACCGUCUGAUCACUAGAAACUAUGAGAGGGAAAUGCUGGAUAAAGCUAGUCUGAAGCUCGGGCUGGACGGUGCCGUCCUGCAAGAGCAUGAGUGGGAACAAAGAAGGCAACAACAACGGGCCGGUCCAGCAGUUCUCCAAGAAGGAGAUCGAGGACCUGCUGAGGAAAGGAGCCUACGCCGCCAUCAUGGACGAGAACGACGAAGGCAAUCGCUUCUGCUAGGAGGACAUCGACCAGAUCCUGCAGCGAAGAGCCACCAUCACCACCAGUUUGCUUCAAGCAGUGGCUGUACGAGAAAGACGUGGAGGACCAAGAAAUGCUGGCCAGAUUGGCAAAGACCGGAAGAUACAUAACAGAGAAGAUAAUGGAUAUUAACAAGAAAAAGAAAAAAAAUGUUUAUAAUUUCUUUGUUGCUGUUUACAUUUUGAAUUAUAUUUGUUAUUUUUAAAUCAAAUGCAUCUAUUUUAGAUGAUAUAUUUAUUUAGAUGUAGGUUUUUUUUUUAAAUAUUAUUGUAUUAAGUAUAAUUUAUUAAAUAAAAAUACUGUUAUGAACACUAUACAAUGUCUUUAUUUUGAUAGUUACCAGAAUACAUUGUAUAUUUAAUACUAACAUAAGCUGGUGAUAGAUAAAUGCUGGUCUGAUGGUAUGCCAGCAGACAAAUAUUUAUAAAGACAGGGUAUGGCUGGGGUAGGCUACACCCAUACCAAGAAAUGGCUUAGCCCCACCAUGAAAAAUGAUGUUAAAGUAAGCAAAAUAAAGUCCGCCAA